AUGAUGGCAUACCAUUUGCAAUAGUAGACAACCCAAGGUAUUGCAAAUGGGGUAAGUCCAGUCUUAUUUAGUAGCCACUUCGCUGAACACAAAUGUUAGUGUUUCAAAAUUAUAUCGUUUGCAGAGAAAGGCAGCCUUGCAGCUGUAUAGGAACUGGGUUAUAGUCUCGGUAUCACCUUCUUAACCAAUAUACUUUCCAAAAC